rnacentral:rRNA from 1 species
AACGAACGCUGGCGGCAGGCCUAACACAUGCAAGUCGAGCGAAGCCUUCGGGCUUAGCGGCGGACGGGUGAGUAACGCGUGGGAACGUGCCCUUUGGUACGGAAUAGCCACGGGAAACUGGGAGUAAUACAGUAUGUGGUCGAGAGACGAAAGCUGUAUCGCCCAAGGAUCGGCCCGCGUUGGAUUAGGUAGUUGGUGGGGUAAUGGCCUACCAAGCCGACGAGACAUAGGUGGUUUGAGAGGAUGAUCGGCCACACUGGGACUGAGACACGGCCCAGACUCCUACGGGAGGCAGCAGUGGGGAAUCUUAGACAAGGGGGGAAACCCUGAUCUAGCCAUGCCGCGUGAUCGAUGAAGGCCUUAGGGUUGUAAAGAUCUUUCAGUGGGGAAGAUAAUGACUGUACCCACAGAAGAAGCCCCGGCUAACUCCGUGCCAGCAGCCGCCGUAAUAC